UCACCUCCCACCCGUGUCUAUCGUACCUUGUUGCUUCGGCGGGCCCGCCGUUUCGACGGCCGCCGGGGAGGCCUUGCGCCCCCGGGCCCGCGCCCGCCGAAGACCCCAACAUGAACGCUGUUCUGAAAGUAUGCAGUCUGAGUUGAUUAUCGUAAUCAGUUAAAACUUUCAACAACGGAUCUCUUGGUUCCGGCAUCGAUGAAGAACGCAGCGAAAUGCGAUAAGUAAUGUGAAUUGCAGAAUUCAGUGAAUCAUCGAGUCUUUGAACGCACAUUGCGCCCCCUGGUAUUCCGGGGGGCAUGCCUGUCCGAGCGUCAUUGCUGCCCUCAAGCACGGCUUGUGUGUUGGGCCCCCGUCCCCCUCUCCCGGGGGACGGGCCCGAAAGGCAGCGGCGGCACCGCGUCCGGUCCUCGAGCGUAUGGGGCUUUGUCACCUGCUCUGUAGGCCCGGCCGGCGCCAGCCGACACCCAACUUUAUUUUUCUAAGGUUGACCUCGGAUCAGGUAGGGAUACCCGCUGAACUUAAGCAUAUCAAUAAGCGGAGGA
rnacentral:rRNA from 1 species